GAGGCCUGCAGCACCAAUUCACCUAGAUCCAAGCACAAGUGAGAGAGCUGAGAGAAGAUUAUGAGAACAGACCUGAGCAUGGGCAUGAUGAUGGCAGCGGUGGGGAAGACCCUGGGCUGGGUCCUAGUCAAGCCAGCCGGCAUGCUGAGCCACCACCACAGAGAUCGCCACACAGCCACAGGGACCCAAAGCUGGAUCCAUGAACAGGACCUGAAGAUGGCAGAGGAAGCAGUGGCAGAGAUCUUCAUGUCAGCCAGAACUGGGAGCAGACGAGGCACCAAUGAGAAGUAUUACAUAGUACAAGCAUAUUACAAGUAUUUCAUCGAAUUCACCCCUCAAGCUAGUGUGUAUCGAUUUCCUUCACCUGGAGGCUUGCAGGGGGGGAUGUGAGUACAUCCUGGUAGUGGUUGACCACUUCACCGGAUUCGCCCAAGCCCAUCCCACCAGGAACAAGGCCGGGAAAAUGGCUGCUGAUCUGCUUUUCAAUGAUUUCAUUCCCAGAUUUGGGUACCCGGCCAAGUUAGUCAGUUAGCGGGUGUUGCCCACUCGAGGACCUCUCCAUACCAUCCCCAGGGCAACCCUGCAGAGAGGUUCAAUCGCACACUACUGCAGAUGCUCCGGACCCUGGGAGAGAAAGAGAAGGAAAAUUGGAAGGACCACCUGCCACAUGUACUACAUGCAUACAAUUGUACAAGGUACGAGGCCACAGGUUUCUCCCCAUACUAUUUGUUGUAUGGCGGACAUCCUCGCCUUCCUGUUGAUCUCCUCUUUGGCCUCAUAACAGAUGAGGGAGCGGAAAUCAGUGGACCUAGGGGAUAUGCUGAGAAAUGGGCAGGAAAAAGGCAUAUCGAAUAGCAAACGCAAACAGCCAACAGUCCUGCUCAAAAGGGAAGACAUACUACGAUAAAAGGAGCAAAGGAGUCAUUCUUCAGCCUGGGGACAGAGUCCUGGUACGCAAUCUCAGUGAACGAGGGGGCCCUGGGAAGCUUAGACCAUACUGGGAGCAACUCAUCUACAUCGUGAGAGAGCAGGUGGGAGAUAACCCUGUCUACAAAGUAAGCGGGAGGUCGACCAGUUCGCACUCUGCACAGGAACCUCCUGUUACAAGUGAACAGCCUACCUGUGGAGCCUCCUCAGAACCCGUCCAUCACAGUUAAGUCAGGAAAGAGAACUAAAAAAACCUCAAGCGCUCCAAAACCCACAUGGGAGAGACAGAGCCUCGACAUAAGUGACUCUGAGGAAGAGGGAUGUGCGCCUCAAUACUGGUUGCGAAUACCAGCGGAGAAACCAAGAGCUGAGAGUCUUACCUGGCCCGAAUGUUACGCUUGACUCCCAAAACAGAUCCGAACAGACUGAGACCUAUCAGGGAGAAGUAAAUCAUGCAGAGCCUGAACAGGAAGGAGAAGAUGUCAGAGGUGAGGAACAGGGGGUAUCCAGUGGGGAUGAACAAGACACGGGGCAGCUACCACCUACAACCGUUCAAGAGGACAAUGUUCCCACACUGCAACCUGAGCAUCAGGUUCCCCUGAGACAGUCCACCAGAGAAAGACGGCCAGAUUAUGUGUUCACUUACCCAUCCCUGGGUCAACCAGCUUAUCAGCCUUGUCCCACUGUGGGCGCAGUUGGAAUCCAGCCAGUACAGUGUUCUUACCAGUGUCUCUGUCCACCAUACUUCCACCCCUUCCAACCCCCAUCCAUCACUCCAUACCAAUACUUACCUGUCCUGUACCCAGCCCAUUGUUGAUGAGACACCAUUAAAACCAGUUGCAUACAUUCCAUACUCACCUGUUGAGAUUUGAAACACACACAUAAUAGAUUUCUCUAAGGUUACAUUGAAAGUUUGGAUGUGUUUUUGAAAAAAAAAAGAAGAAAAGAUUAUGUAAUGUUCAGAGUGAAAUAAUUUAGAAUAGCUUGUGUCAGGAGCCACUUUUAUUUGUUGGGGAGUGUGUGAUAAUGGAAGAGCACAUAGUCACUUUUUGUUUGUUUACGGUCGAAAUCUGGUGUUGAUAUGAGAACAUAAUUUUACACAGUACUUUAUUAUUGUUUGUAGCAACCAGCUCAAGGUUGAAUAUAAUUCUUACAUUUUAUUGUGAAGGACAAUCUUUAUGGGGGGUAAAGAAAAAAAGAAAGAAAAGAAAGCAGAACUGAAGUGCAGGUAUGGUUUCACCGCGGGGCCUGGUCCGCUCUUUCGCUCACUGACUGUUUAAUUCUGUUUUCCAGGUUUGUACUCGGUUGAAAAUAAGACCAAUUCCUCCUGAAAUGUGUAGUAAUGUAUUGUAGCGAAUGGCUAAUUAGUACAUGUGUAUGUGUGAUGCUAUGUGCUAGGUUCCUCACUCCCUGGUGUUUGUAUUUCAGUUUUUUUAGAUAUCCUGACAUGUUAUGACUGAUGAUUAAUGUUAAAAAAAGAUAGGUUGACUGUUUAUGACUAAAGGGGGGAUUAUUCCUAAAGUUAUAUGAGCUGUUAUGUGUCCAGUUUCUGUUUAAAGAUACAGUAUAAGUUGAGCAGUUUUCCCUAUGUGUAUUAUGUUUCAUAGUUUGGCUCUAAAGUCAUUUAAAUACUCAUCCUAAGCUAAAGAGUGUUUGUGAUUUACCGUAUUACAUGGAUACAUUAGUGGAUUUCUGGAGUUAACCAGAACAAAAGUAUAGUUAUAUAAGCUAACAUGAUAAUUGCUAAACCUGAUCCAUUCUUUGUAUGUUAUGGCACUUAAAAUAAAGUGUGUGGAAGAAGUUUAAACUAACAAAUGAGAAUUGAAAUUGAAACAUGUUUACAGUAGGGGAUGUUUAUUGUUUAUUGAUAUUGUUGUUGUUGUAAUAAAGAGACAGAUUUUGUGAGGAAAAGAUGGUGGUCCGCUCUUUCGCUCACUGACUUUUUAAUUCUGUUUUCCAGAGAGAGAGUUGAGAGCGGUGAACCAGCCAAACUUAAUUUGUUACUACAGUUUUACACUUUUAAACUUAACAAUGGCAGAGGACGCAGAGGCAGAGAUCUUCAUGUCAGGCAGAAUUGGGAGCAGACGAAGCACCUUCAGGCCGUGAUGACCACCUCACCAGGCGUAAAGGCAGAUGGUUCCCAGACGCCACCUUCAACACCGUAAAACACUAGCUCCCUUGGUACAGUGGAACGAGUUUUCACGGUGCUACGGCCGAUAAACAAAACAGAAGCACCCGUUGAAUCUCUCCACCUCAUUUCUCGACGCCAAGGGUCCGCUACACCCAGUGAUCCUGGGGACUGAUGUUCCCACUCUGCUAGACCUGAUACAGCAGUCAAAAGGUAACAACCAGGGUACCUGUGAGGGUCAAGUAAAGAACACUGUUGAGGCACCGAUUCUGGAGGUUGAGCAACGACCAUGGCAGCUAGACGCACAGACAGAAGCUAGUUCACUGAACAUGGUCACAACUCGGGCUCAGAGCAAAAGUAACACUCUUCAGGAGUUACCUUUUUACGACGCUGAACUGGAAGCAGGCAGAGCUAAGCAGACAAAGACCAGAGCUCAGAGACGAAGGGAGAAGGUUUUGGCAACAGCAAGGGGGCAGUGUGAGGAAACAGUGAAGCCUACCCAGCCAUUAGACGUUCACAUUCCUUCAGACAUGAAGGCUGAUCAAGCACUGAAACCCUGGUUUCAGAAGGUCUCAGAGGUUGAGGGUGUGAAACAGGGCAAGACUGACUGUAUAGCUGAGGUCAGCUAUGUGAUCAAAGAUGGCAUUCCUUUCUUUGACAGGAUAGGCAUGGAUAUUGUGGGGCCGCUGGAAAGAAGUUCCUUAGGAAACAUCAGAGU